AAGGAAUAUUGGACAAUGGAGGCAACUCUGAUCCAGCCAUGCCGCGUGAAGGAAUAAGGCCCUAUGGGUUGUAAACUUCUUUUAGACGGGACAAAACCCCUUUACGUGUAAAGGGUUGAUGGUACUGUCAGAAUAAGCAUCGGCUAACUUCGUGCCAGCAGCCGCGGUAAUACGAAGGAUGCAAGCGUUAUCCGGAAUUAUUGGGUUUAAAGGUUGCGUAGGCGGACUAAUAAGUCAGUGGUGAAAGCCUGCAGCUUAACUGCAGAAUUGCCAUUGAUACUGUUAGUCUUGAGUACAGUUGAGGUAGGCGGAAUGUGUCAUGUAGCGGUGAAAUGCUUAGAUAUGACACAGAACACCGAUUGCGAAGGCAGCUUGCUAAGCUGUAACUGACGCUGAGGCACGAAAGCGUGGGGAGCAAACA
rnacentral:rRNA from 1 species